AUGUGUUCUCGCAUGCGCUAUCAAGCCGUAGAUCACGAUGGCGUGACGAUGCUAGGAAGGAGCGACUAUUAAUGGAAGCGACACAGUGUUGUUUUCAAAUGUAUAAUUAUAACAUUUCAGACGUGAAUAUUGAGUAAAUCUUUGAGAAUCUACGCAAUAUAUAAACCGGUGUUAUGCAUUACGGGCAUUCAAUCAAGUAUCGAUAUUAUUUAGGCGGUAUAUUCAUUAUACAGAGCUAGGAAGCAGCUAGACACUGCUUUUUUUUCAAAUGUAUAAACAUUUCAGACGUGAAUAUAGAGUAAGGUAAAUCUUUGAGAAUCUACG